UAUAAGUGUAGCCACUACUUUCGUGUUCAACUUUAAUCGUCCGUUUUAUUUGAAAUUUUUUUAUGAUUAGUAUUUUUAUCGUUAUUAGAUGAUAAAAUAUAAAUAUUUCUUUAUGCGUGACUUAUGUUUUUAAAGUUUUUCAAAAGUUUUCAAAUAAGACAGACGAUUAAAGUUGGACACGGAAAGUCAUGGUUGCACUUAAA
rfam:Oryza sativa (indica cultivar-group) chromosome 7, whole genome shotgun sequence.